GGCUGUUUCCAAAGAGCCCUGUAAUUGUUUUCCACCUGUGUCUCACCCAAACACCAAGGCUGGCGCAGGUGGACACCUUCCCACUUUUCUCCCUCCAGGCUGGGCCCCAGAAAUCAGUAGAGGAGGGAGGAAUCAGUCAGCGUGGCCAUGCCUGGGAGGAGAGGCCCGUGUGGGUCUGUGGGGCUAAGAGGCAAAGGCGGGUGGCGGAUGUGGGCCAGCGGGAGCCUGGAGGGGUUGACACCGCCUGCUCCACCGCAAGCCCCUGGAGGAAGAGCCCCGCUGUGCCCGAGAGCGAGCGCGGGCAGGUGUAACUACCCGGGGCUGGGGCUCCGGGGGCUCCGCGCAGCCUCCUUCCCUCCCAGGGACACCGCCCAGCUGCGCCCCGCGCCCCGCCGACUGCGCGGGCCUUGAGACGCUGGUGGCUGCCUCGGGGUUGGCCUGCUCCUCGCGCACAUGUUCAGGGUCAUCCGCGCUGCGCCUCUGCUUCAGGUGCUUGGCUAGAGAAAGGGCGGCAAGACGGGGCAGUGCGUGUGCGCGCGCGGGCAAGUGCAUGUGAGUGCACACUUAUGUGAGCGCAUGUGUGUCUGCGCUUGUGCGUGUCCAGGGGAACCACAGGGAGCACCCUCAUUCUAAGCCUCCAGAGGACUGCCUGAAGCCGCUAGAUAGAAACUCCCCUAGAAUGUAAGCUCCGGGGGGGAGGGAGCUUUGUUUGAUGGCUGCUGUAUUCCCAGUGCCCAUUGAAGUACUGGGGACACAUUAGAUGCUUAAUAAACAGCUGUUGAGUUAAUCAACGGACUCUAGGAAUGGAGGCAGACCGGCCCUUCUGGAACUGGAGAAAGGACAAGGCCACAUUUCACCGUCUCCUCUGUUCUUGGUACCAGCCCUGGCGUCCCCGGCAACGCCAAUCCUUCUCACAUCCAGCUUGUGCCAAGUUUUCCUCCCUGCUCGUGUUUACACCUUCUCCCCUUUGUCUCUGUUUCCUGCUGGCCCCUGUGUGUAAGCACCCCAGCAGUCAGAGUGAGAGGAAGACGAAAGAAGCAGAAUUCUGGAAAUAGAGAGCUACCAGGGUGGCCUCUUCCUUCUGGAAGGACACGGAAAGAUGGGGUGAGACUGGCGCUCUUCUUCAGCUCCUCCCUUUGGGAAUUGGGACUUUGAGCUUCAGUUUCCUCACUUUGAAAUAGCAGCUAUUCCACCUGCCUCGCAGGAUUGUUGCAAGAAGUCAGGCAGGAGGCUGAAAAGUUCUGGAGCACAUGAUAGGUGCUACAGAAACGUUCGUUUCGUCUCCUGACUAGCAUCCAACAGUCUGGGAGUGCCCCAGGUGUGGCUGAGGGUGGUUAUGGUUUGAUAACCACCACCAGAACACCCCUCCUUUUUUCACAAAAUGCCUUGAGGAGAAUUUAAUGGCUGUCGAAAAUUAAGGCAAGCUUCAUUUCUAAAACAUUCAGGAGUCAAUAUGUUGUGAGUCAUGUAUUCCGUCGGGGCCUCCACUCACUCCGGAGGGAGCUUUUCCAAGUAAUUAAACAACGAUGUCGUGAUCAAGCUGAAGUCCACCAGCCCCAGCCUUUCCAUUCGGGACCUUCUCCUGCACAUGCUGCAGCUGCCUCCAAGACUACUGCGAUGGAGAUGAGCAGAUUCUUCCUUCAGUUGUAGAGGGAGACACUGCGAAAACCUAAUGCUGUCAAUAACGCUUUUCAUCUCGAAAGGAAGGAUCCGAUUUCACUCUUUUCAGCCUGAUUUAAGGACCCACCAGAAAAAAACAAACUUCAUGGGGUAAUUAGGAAAUUAUCCUCUUACAAAUUGGUAGAUGUCGUCUUUUUUUCCUUGGGACAAGACAGAAAGGACAUUGUUUGUCUUUUACCAUGGUGAAGCUGCUGCGAUUAACCAUGCCACCUGGGGAAUGGUUCACUUGUGGGUAAGCUGAUAGCCUGCUGUUCCAGGGUGCGCCUGCCAAGAUCACUAUCAUUACACUCAAGAUGAAGAGGAGGGGGACGGCAAGGAAGGCAAAGUGCAGUGCUCAAACAGAAGCAUGGAGUUGGAACGAGAAGCUGAGUCCAUGAGACAGCAAAUAAGGAGUCCACGUUGGCCAAAGAACAGGGCAACACACGGGACUUUGCCAGGCAUCUUUGAGAGAGAAUGGAAUGGGAGGAAUCAAGACACUGAGGGCUAGAGACAUGACUGUACCCCUGGGAAAUGCUGCCACCCAGCACGGCACGGAAGUCAUGGAGACAUUCUUCAAGGCUGCCAUGGGCCAAAGACUCACAAAAUUCAUCAUCUCUUCCACCUCCACCUUGCUUUAAUUAGGGCUUUGCUGAAGACAACGACUUAACCUAAAGAUCGAGUCCACGGUGGGAGUACUGGGCUCCAAGUCAGGGCAGUGAAGGCGCAAGGUAGUAGACUAACACCCCUCCACCUGCACUGGCACAUCCUCCAUGCAUUUGGCAAUCUCAUCAAACACAGGGUCAAGGCAGCUGUGUUCCAGCCCUGGCUCUGCCACUUGUUUGCUGUGUAGCUUUAGACACACCACUCACCUUCUGUGAACCUUGAGUUCCUCAUGUGUGAAUCAAGAUCACGGCAUCUCCCCUGCUUACCUCACAGGGCUCCUGUGGAUGAGGCAACGUACAAAGUGCUUUGUCAACUAUAAAGCAUUGAUGAAACAUCAGGAACUGUUGUCAUCGUUCCAGGUUACACCAGAUUUGACCACCGGGAGCCCCUUUAAGCCAGUUCCUGUGUCUUGUUGACAUGUCUUCAUCAUUCUUGGAGCACUUCCUGACUUUCCAUACGACAAAAUGUCCCCGGCUCUUCUUGUACCUUCCCUGCCACACCCAUGGAAUCAGCUGUUUCUCCAAAGAGUCCUGGCUCUAAGCACUAAGUCUGCACAUUGCUAUUGAGUGUCCCUGCUCCCAGGUGCUCUCCGUGGAGAGGACACACGAACGUAUGCGCUCAUGCACACACACACACACACACACACACACACACACACUUAAUCUACAGUGACAGAAAGCAGAUCAGUGGUUGCCUCGGGAUAAGGGUGGUAAGAAAAGGUGGAAGACAGGAAUUACAAAGGCAAGGGCCACAAGGAAACUUUUGGGGAGAUGAAGAUACGUGUAUAUCAAGAUUUAUCAAAAUAUACCUUUUUUUUUUUUGAGACAGAGUCUCACUCUGUUGCCCACACUGGAGUGCAGUGGCAGGAUCUCAGUUCACUGCAACCUCCACCUCCCAGCUUCAAGCAAUUCUCCUGCCUCAGCCUCCCGAGUAGCUGGCAUUACAGGCAUGCACCACCAUGCCAGCUAAUUUUUGUAUUUUUAGUAGAGACAGUGGUUUCACCAUGUUGGCCAG
rnacentral:lncRNA from 1 species